CCUACGGGAGGCUGCAGUGGGGAAUAUUGGGCAAUGGACGAAACUCUGACCCAGCAAUGCCGCGUGAAUGAAGAAGGUCUUCGGAUUGUAAAGCUCUUUAGUCAGGGAAGAAAAAAAUGACGGUACCUGAAGAAUAAGCUCCGGCUAACUAAGUGCCAGCAGCCGCGGCAAUACGUAGGGAGCAAGCGUUGUUCGGAAUGACUGGGCGUAAAGGGUGCGUAGGCGGUUAUACAAGUUAGAAGUGAAAUACCCAGGGCUUAACUCGGGUGCUGCUUCUAAAACUGUAAGACUUGAGUGCAGGAGAGGUUAGUGGAAUUCCUGGUGUAGCGGUGAAAUGCGUAGAUAUUAGGCGGAACACCAGUGGCGAAGGCGGCUUACUGGACUGUAACUGACGUUGAGGCUCGAAAGCGUGGGGAGCAAACAGGAUUAGAUACCCCAGUAGUC
rnacentral:rRNA from 1 species